rnacentral:rRNA from 1 species
AUGCAUGGGAAUCUGCCCUGAGGUGGGGGAUAACCUGGGGAAACUCAGGCUAAUACCGCAUGAUCUCUACGGAGCAAAGUGGGGGACCUUCGGGCCUCACGCCUUGGGAUGAGCCCAUGUCUGAUUAGCUAGUUGGUGGGGUAAAGGCCUACCAAGGCGACGAUCAGUAGCCGGCCUGAGAGGGUGGACGGCCACACUGGGACUGAGACACGGCCCAGACUCCUACGGGAGGCAGCAGUGGGGAAUAUUGGACAAUGGGGGCAACCCUGAUCCAGCAAUGCCGC